GGCCAUAUCACAUUGAAAUACUGGUUCCUGUAAUAUCACUGAAGUUAAGUAGUUGAGCCCAGUCAGUACCUAUAUGGGUGACCACUUGGGAAUACCAGGUGCUGUA